GGGUUGUGAGGUUAAGCGACUAAGCGUACACGGUGGAUGCCCUGGCAGUCAGAGGCGAUGAAGGACGUGCUAAUCUGCGAAAAGCGUCGGUAAGGUGAUAUGAACCGUUAUAACCGGCGAUGUCCGAAUGGGGAAACCCAGUGCAAUUCGUUGCACUAUCGUUAACUGAAUACAUAGGUUAACGAGGCGAACCGGGGGAACUGAAACAUCUAAGUACCCCGAGGAAAAGAAAUCAACCGAGAUUCCCCCAGUAGCGGCGAGCGAACGGGGAGCAGCCCAGAGUCUGAAUCAGCUUGUGUGUUAG
rnacentral:rRNA from 1 species